ensembl:lncRNA
GGUGGGAUGAUGGGGAUGGCAACUGGGUUGGGAGCAGGAACCCAUGAGAAUCCCUCAUGACUUUUGGGAAUUUCUUUGAAAGUGUCCCUGCCCGCUGUGGAGGCCCUGGACCUGCCUGUCCAGUGUCAGUAGCAGAGGGCUUCUGAGGGUUCUGUCCAGGCCCUGUCCCUCAGGUUCGGAAGAUCAGAGAAGGCUCUGGUACUUUUAUAUCAUUGCUUCAGUUGGAUUUGUAUCCUGGCUUAUUUUCCAGGGAUAAAGUUCAGCCCUGAGAAGCAUUUAGCUGUCCAGGAAUCUCCAGUGAUAAAGCUCAGAGAAAUCGGGCCCUUCCGGAGUCCCCUCAGCUCCCUGGGGUCCCCUGCAGUCUCCUCUGACAAAGGCAGCUCUCACCUAACAGGGCAGGGGUGGCCGCUCCUGUUCUUAUAACCUCUUCCCCUUCCCUACUUCUGCCCCUGGUGCUCCUGGUCACUCUCCAGGUACCUCAAUGCCAUCCCCCAGCCCAUCACCUCUUUUCAGUCUGCCAAGAGGUGGGUGUCCAAAGACCUGGGUUCAGGGUUCCACUGCUGGCUGGGUGAGCUUGGGCAAAUUUACCUGCCUUGGUCUCUUCAGUUGUAGAAUAAGGAUAGUAGUUAUAUGUACAACUAGAGUUUUCAUGAGGAUCAAAUGUGACAGUCUGCCUGGAAGAGCUUGGACAGCAGAAUAAGCUAGUCAGUUUCCUUUCUUUUCUGGUUUGCCCGCAUUUAUUCCUUUUCUUCCCAGACCCUUUAUUUCACUCUCACUACCUUCUAGCCUUCUGCUCCCUGCUCGUCACUAUUUCUUUUACUUUCAUCUUGAGCACGGGGCAGGGUGACUAAAACUGAGUCUAUGGAAAAGGGAUGAAAUGGAAAAGUAGAGUGUCUGAGAACCAUUUCAAACUCGUCCCAUCAACGUCCACAUCUCUAUCAGCCUCUCUCGCUUUGGCUUUGAACCUGGCAGAUCUACCAGCAAUGUCUGGGGAAACUGGCAGCUAGACAAGCAGCGUUACAGCUUGAGUGAGGCAUGGGGUAUGGAAUGCAGCUUAUGGGGCCAAGGCUAGCCCUCAGGGCCUUUGCACAAACUGGAGGAAGUCAGCUUCCUUGUCUCUUUGGCCUGGUGCCCUUGUGCAAUGACCGACUUGCACAGGCAGAUGUGGUAGCACUGUCUGAAGCCACCCCCCUUGGGGAUUUGGGGAAAACCCUGGUGUGGAUGAGCUGGCCUGUGAUAAAAGAUCAGACAAAAAAAGUGGGCAGAGUCUGCACAAAGGGACCCAAGGCAAGAAGAGGAGGAAGAGACAGAGGAAAAAGAGAGGAGAAAGGAGAGGAGGUCCAGACGCCUGUCCGCUCCCAAAAGAGACCAGGGGAGAGGGCUGUCAUGAAAGCCAAAGAGAAGGAAUUUCAAGGAGGGGCGGACACACACAGAGAUCAAGGGGGCUGAGGACAAGCACAGCACUUCCGAUAAAGCGAUGGAGACCAAAGCCAGGUGCUGAAAGGACAAGGUGUAAGUGGUUAGUGCUGGGUGGAAGCAGAAUGUCAACUUUUCUUUUUAAGAAGUUUGGGGUAAUUCCCUGGUAGUCCAGGGGUUAGGACUUUGAGCUUCCACUGCUGGGGUCCAGGUUCAAUUCCUGGUCGGGGAGCUAAAAUCCUGGACUGAGUGGUUGAGUGGCAUUGCCAAAAGAAUGUUUGUAUAUACAUGAACAUAUAUAUGUAUGUAUAUACAAACUUUUUGUGUGUAUAUAUAUAUAUGUAUAAUAUGUAUGUGUGUAGAUUUUGUUUGUUUAGCUGUUUAGUCUCUAAGUCAUGUCCAACUCUUUUGUGACCCCAUGGAUCCCAUAGACUGUAGCCCUCCAGGCUUCUCUGUCAAUGGGAUUUCCCAGGCGAGAAUACUGGAGUGAGUGGGUUGCCAUUUCCUUCUCCUGGAGAUAUUCCCAACCCAGGGAUCCAAGCUGGGUCUCCUGCAUUGCAGACAGAUUCGUUACCAUCUGAGCCACCAGGGAAGCUCCGUGUGUGUAUCUUUUUUAAAAAUAGUUUUAUGUAUUGUUGGCUGGGCUGGGUCUUCCUUGCUGCAUGGGCUUUCUCUAGCUGCAAUUCGUGGGCUUCUCGUUGCAGUGGCUUUUUUGUUGCAGAGCACGGGCUCAGUAGUUGUGGCACAUAGGCUUAGUUGUCCAGCAGUAUGUGGAAUCUUUUCCGACCAGGGGUCGAACCUGUGUCCCCUGCAUUGGCAGGCAGAUACGUUACCACUGAGCCACCAGGGAAGCCUCCUGCGUGUGUAUCUUUAAACAAUAAAGAAACCGCCUGCAGUGCAAUGACUGGGUUCAACUAAGUUUGUCAGGGAUGGAAAGGAGAAAAUGGGGUGAUAUCUUGGUGUAGGUAGCAAGGUUGAUGAAAGGUGUCCUCAGGAUGGUACUUGGUACUCUUUAGCCAGGCUGAUCAACGAUUAAACAAGCGAUGACAAUGGAGUGAGGUUGGCACUGUGCCUAAGAGGCUGGAGGACCUGACAUUUCAGCUGGACCCUGAAGAGUGCUAGUGCUAGCAGGUGGCACACCUGGGGUUUGCCUGAUGUAACCUCUACGUGUCUCUGCCUCCCCCCAGUGUGAAGAGCAGGACAGACGAAAGGAGUCUAUGUCUACAUGCAUGUGGUACACUAGGUUAUGUGAAUGGUUUUGAAAUCCCAGUGAAUGUCACAUAACAUGGCUAUGAUGAGGAAUUAAACCAGCCUGGUAGGGCCUGGAGCAUCACAGGUGCUCCCCUGCCUCCUUCUUCUGGAAGAAUUAUCAGCACGGAGGUUCAAGUCUCUCAGUUUGGUUCAGUUCCACAGUGAGCUGGGGAUACAGAGAUAAAUAAGAAUUAACAGCGAUAAUCAAGGAGAAGACUAUUAGAGGGGACAGAUAACUGUAUGAUACGUGCUAUGAAACGUCCUAAAGUACUAUCAGAAGAUGGAAUAAUUCAUCCAUUCAUUAACAAUUUAUAAGGCAACUGUUUUGUUCCAGCCAUGUUCUAGGCUUUGGGGGUACAGCAAAGAAAAGUCAGAUGAGGUUGUUGCUCUUACAGAGGUCACAUUUUAUGUGUUGAAGGAUUGGGAUCAUGGAGAACCUCAUGUAGGAGGGAAUGCGCUGAACUUCAAAAAAUGAGCAGGAACUUGCUAGAGAAACGAGGGGGUCAGGAGAACUCUUUCCAGGUAAAACAACCGGCACUGAGACCGGUUACAGUCUCCAACAGAGUCCCCUCCUCUGAGUUUCAGAUCUGUAUCUCCUGAACAUCACUGGGUAUGGUAGCCAGUUGAUUUCCAAAAAAUCUUUUUUCAUGUUUUUACCUUUUUAUUUUUGGCCUCACCUGGAAGCUUGUAGGAUCUUUGAACCCAUGCCCUCGACAGUGAAAGCAUGACAUCCUAAACACUGGAAUUCCCAAAGAAAUCUUAAAGCUAUUAGAUUUAAGGCAUCUGUUUUUUUUUCCCUCUUUCUUUAAAAAAAUUCAGGAAUAAAAGCACCAUAUGACCCAGCAAUCCCACUCCUAGGACUAUACCCUGAGGAAACCAAAAUUGAAAAAGACACAUGUAUCCCAUUGUUCAUUGCAGCACUAUUUACAACAGCUAGAACAGGGAAGCAACCUAGAUGUCCAUCGACAGAUGAAUGGAUAAAGAAGCUGUGGUACAUAUACACAGUGGGAUAUUACUCAGCCAUAAAAAGGAACGCAUUUGAGUGAGUUCUAAUGAGGUGGAUGAACCUAGAACCUAUUAUACAGAGUGAAGUGAGUCAGAAAGAGAAAGAUAAAUAUCAUAUUCUAAUGCAUAUAUAUGGAAUCUAGAAAAAUGGUACUGAAGAGUUUAUUUAUAGGGCAGCAAUGGAGAAAUAGACAUAGAGAAUAGACUUAUGGACAUGUGGAGAGGGAAGGAGAGGGGAGUUGUAUGGAAAGAGUAACAUGGAAACUUACAUUACCAUAUGUAAAAUAGACAGCCAAUGGGGAAUUUGCUGUAUGGCUAAGAAACUCAAAUAGGGGCUCUGUAUCAACAUAGAGAGGUGGGAUGGGGAGGGAGAUGGGAGGAAGUUCAAAAGGGAGGGGAUUAUAUGUAUACAUAUGGCUGAUUCAUGUUGAGGUUUGA